AUCCAGUGAGAGCCGUGGGGAGGGACCUGCCUGGGUUCCCCUGUGGCCCGCUGGGCUUUCCUAGCUGUAGAGCCCAAUUACGCAGCCUUUCCCUGGUCCGGGCGUGCUGCCUCUCCCCCCAGGGUCCUUGCCCCAGCUCGGCUGGGAGCAAGGGCAGAUGGGCAUUGGGAGUUAGCCCCAAAUCCCCCCUCUCCACCCUGCCUUUGUGAGUGGCAGCCUCGUGCAGAGAAGUGACGUAUAGAAAGUGCCCUUUAAAUUGAGGAGUUGUCCAAAACGGGGCUGGCUUUCAAAGCACAUUUUUGGAUCAGAAAUCCCGGAAUAAGAAAAUUCUGAACGCAGAACAAAGCGCAAGAGCCUGCCACAACAGCACAUCAAAGGCAGACAGACAUCCCUAAUGAACUCCCAAGAAUGCAGUCCUUCUCAGAAGAGCAAUUGGAUAGCCUGCCAGGACUAAGCUGCCCAGGUUUGGUUCAGGGCUGAAGCUGUUUGCUAGUCAUGGAGAGUAAAUGCUCACAAAUCAUCUGGGAGGUACGGACAAGAGAAGCAAGGUCCGGGGAAGCUGACUUGCCUAAGACUUGGGAGGUUGUUGUUAUCGGCCAUAGUUUUCAUUGACUACGGAGUCAAACUGUAUUCCUUUCCUGAACUGACAGAGCAUGACUGGGAAAUUCCAGAAGAAGGAAAUCUGUGGAGACAUAAGCAGGUCAUUGGGUGCCUGGAGCUGAGGAAUGGGGUCAGUCUGAAAUGGACACUGGCAAGUUUGUUGGAACGAUGGAAGUGUUGUAGAACCAAAUGGUGGUGAUGGUUAUACAGUUGUAUCGGAGGCGGGGGCGCGGCGCAGGCUGCUUCUGUACUUCAGCCUAGUUGGCGUCCAGCUUGGCCAUUUCCUGUACGUAGAUGCCUAUACUCUCGCUGUCAAAAAGCACGAAAUACACCGUUUUGAUGGAAGAGGACAUCGUUGACACGAAGUAACUGGAGAUGGCCUUCAGAAUCAGCUGAGCUGCCGUCUGCUUUGGAAAGCCAUUCCUGCAGGAGAGAAGGGGGCUCAGCAACCAGGGGCCGCCGUGGCCAUGGGCCUGCCGCCCUGCUGCCCUCCCUCCCGGAGGCCCCAGGGCUGGGUGCUGUGCUUCGCCUCGAGGGGCCUCAGUGCCUGCGAGGGCUGCUCACACACAGGGGAAGGGCCAAGCAACAAGCACAUACACACGACUUGUGUCUCCUGCGUGGAGUCUCCCAAGGGUAGUAUCUGCAGUCUUCCAGAGCCCCCAGCCUGUGGACCAUUGUAUCCAAAGUGCUGGGCCAGCCUGCCGGCUUAGGCCACACCCCUCCUUCAGAUGGGGUGCCUGCUGCCAGGCAACCACAGCGUAAAGAAAAAAAUGCAGCCAAGGGACCGUAGCUGUUCUGGACCACGCAGGCCGCCAGGAAGGAGUGGGGAAGGUGAUUCCUUUCUUUAUGCUUUCAGGGCUCCAGAAUGUUUUCUCGUGGCCAUAGUGAGCGGCGCUUGUAGCAAAAUGGAGCAUAGCAGCAGCUGUUCUCAUGGCAGUGCUUUACACACCACACCCGGAGCCCUCAAAUCAGGGGCAGCUGUGUCGCUGCAGAGGCCCAGAUGGCCUCCCGUCCUCAGGAGGGCCGAGCAGCAGGGCAGUUAGAGGUUCAGGCGGUGGAGCCACACAGGAUUUGAGUCCAGGCCCUGCCUCUGUGUCUUGUUUGUCAUCCGGGGAAAUGGGGUAGGUAAGCAAGGCACCUGUUAUCCCUGGGGGCUGUGAGUAUUGAACAAGACAAUGUGCAGAACAUCCUCAAUUGGUAAUGGCGUCUAUAGAACAGGCAGUCUGGCAGCAUCUUUCUAGAGGCUCAUGUGGUACAAAACUGUCUUCCUCCCGGGCCCCGUGAUCGCUGUCACCACUGCACUUUCCCUGUGCCGACAAUGUCGGCCUCAGGCCCCCAGAAGGCCAUCGGGGUCAGCGAUGACUACUGGCACGCAUGGUAUGGCAGGGUGACUCAGGGUCGCUGGUGCUGUGUGGGCCAGCUUCAGAGGCAUCACUGGUCUGUGGGGUCUCUCUCAUCUCCCGGCUUCCUGGCUGGUUGGGGUCCCUGCUGGUUGCUUCCCUGCAGCCGUCCCCGGUGGCCAUCCCUGCUUGGCCAAGUCUUUGGGCCCACCUCCCCUAGCAACAGUCACUCUGUCCACCUUCUGGAGAAGACCAGAUGCCCCCUCCCCCAACGCACAGUAGAGUAAGGGGAAUGGGGCUUCCCUUGUAGUGUUAGAUUUGGGUUUGAAGCCCAGCUGCCCUGGGGCAGGGGCCUUAACCUCUCCAAGCAUUAGUCUCCUUGACGUGGGUACACGGGGUGCUGAUGCCAAGAGGCAGGUGUCCCUCAUAUUCCCAUUUAGGUCCCAUGGGGCCUGCCAGGGGCCAUGGUUAAGGCAUGUGCCUUAAGUUACUCUGCAGGCAAGUGUCCUAGACUCCAGCCUUUUGGUCUUGAGCCAACUAAGGAGCUUCCCCUGAAGUCAUUUCAGUUGUCUUCAGCCUCAGUUUCUCUAGACUAGUGAAAGGGGACCACAUGAGCUGUUGCACCCUUUGGGUCAGCCUGCUCAGUGAUGGCUGGGGGCUACAUACUGGUUGUCUGUUCUUGCAUUCUACCUGGACCACAGGGGUUCUGGGUUCACAAGGGCCAUGUCCGAUAAGGGAUUGUCAUGCCUCCAGCCCUGCUGGGCCCUCACCUUUGAUGGGGCAUCACUAAGUGUCUCUGUUAUCAGUGAGCUCACCUGCAGGGCUGGCCACAGCAGGCACACAGGACUCUAAGCCAAGAGCUGUGUUGCACAGCCUGAUCAGGGACCCUGGAAGCUCCUGUGGGGAGAGGCUAUGUAUCGGGGGUUGGAGGAGUCCAGGAAGAUUCUUCUGGAGGAGACAGACUGGCAGCUUGCCUUUGAAGGCAGAACAGGAUUAAAGGUGGAUUCUAGAUGGACUCUGGUUUUUGCAUGGGACUGGUCCACCUGUCUAAUUGUCCUGGCGGUUUGCAAGAGGGUAGGGCUGGAUGUCACAAAAGAUUGAGUGACUUUAGGAAAGUGUGUCCCUGUGUGGUCAUUUUUUCUGGUAGGAUUAGGUUUCCCUCUCACGGUGCUCCUGUGCCUUUCCAUUUUCCAUGUUCUAUGUAGCUUUGAGCAAGUGCCUUUGUCAAGCUUGGCUGCCUGAAGGCCACUCCCUCCAGAGGCAGAGACCAGGGCAGCAGCUGAGAGCAGUGGGCUCCACUUCCAGAGGGCAUGGUGGGGGGGGAUGGACUGGGGAGCACAGCCCCCGUGUGGCCUGUAGCCUUCUUUCCAGAUGUUCUUGUCUUAGGCUAGUAGGUAAUUCUGCCCGUUCUGUUUGGUUUCUUCCUAUCUCUUCUAAAGCCAAUUCUCAAGGUGGAGGGAGGCUGACGGCUGGGCCCAGGGAAGUCAGGGACUUCCCCAGUGGGGUUUCUGAGCUUCCCUAAAACCUCCUCCUGUACAUCACCCUCAAGCAGUGGGGCGAUCCUCUGGUGGAGAGCAAAUGGGGUCUGGAAGGGGCUCCAUGCCUCUCAUCUUGGCCAAGGACUUGCCCGAAAAUUCGGGCUCUCCCCCGUCUAAGUCGUGUCACCUCAGGGGAGCGAGUUAACCCCUCUCAGCUUCCUUUUUAUUUUUUCUUUUAGUGGAAUUAAUGACAGUGCUCACCCUGUAAGGGUGUUGUGAGAUAAUGCAGAUCAAGGGUUUAGCACAGUACGUGGGACUCAAUGAAUACCCAUAAAUGGUAGCUUGAAAAAAAAUGAACUGGACUUGAAGCUCAUAAAUCUACAGAGAGUUUAAUCAAAGUUCCAAACUACCCAUUCCCUAUAUCCUACCCCUCCAGAGAGGGGGUCGCCCCCUAAUGUCACACAGAGCUGAGAGAGUGGGGGUAUCCAUGAAUGUUGUGACCAUAGUACCCAAGGACAGUCUCCCUGAGGUCAGGGUCUGGCCUCCGGGGGGCUACAGGGAGAGGGCAUAAGGGUGGGAUGGCCCUCCACAUGCUGGGCCUUGGCUGAGAGAAAGUGACCCCUCUGCUCCUUGCCAACAUGUUUGCAUUUCUAUUAUUUUCAUUCCAACCCGACUUUUAGGCCGGAGACACUGGAUGCCACAAACAAGCUUUUUAUUUCCCCUCCUAAAACCCACUGUGAUUUACAGGCCGGCUCUGGUGUAAUCCUAAUCUUUACUCAUGAAAGAGAGGGCAGCUGUUUACAUGGCUCUGUGGGGCAAGGUCUGCCUGACAGAUGUGGGGCCGCUGGCAUUGCACAUGUGCUUGCCUUUGGCAUUCUGCCCUCUUAAAAGCUUUCAAUGGAUUGUUUUUAAAAACUUCUUACUCCAUGAAAAAUGUAGAGAAUUACUUUUAUGCUUCAAUUAAAAGUUUCCCAAUAGCUAUAUGAAAGAAUAUGAAAUUAUUACCUCCAAUAAAGGCUCCUGUUGCUUCUUUCUUCGGAAGCACUUUCAUCAGAGCAGAUCAAAGUGCAUCCGAAGCACUAAUUGAGCCUCAGGACCAUCUGUGAGGGAGGGCCAUCCCCAAAGCCAUGCUCACUGAUAAGGGAGGCCACGGACAGAGAGGCUAACUCGUUUAGCAAAGGUCACACAGCAGCACUGUGCCAAAGAACAGACCGUCUACAGGAUGUGGAAGAAGCAGGAAGCUGGCUACUUAAACUCUGAUUCAGAAGCACUUUGUCAAAAAAAGGUUCGGAAUCAACUCUGGCACCCAUUACACAUCUCCCUAGUUCUGGGGAAAUUUCAAGCUAGGGGCGGGGCGGGGGGGGUGUGCUGACGACCUUACAAUGGUGGCUUUUGUCUUUGCCACCGGCUGUGACAGCCAACUGACAGCAGCCUGACAGCAAAUGGCUUUCAAUGGUCCCUCUCCUUUAGCUUUUCUUUUAAGAGACCCUUAAAUGGUGUUGCAAAGUGAUGUUCAACAUAGGCUCUUGGCAAAAGAGAACAGGAUUUAAAAGCACAGACCGGAAGUGUGGACGGCACCCAAACCAACACGUGUCAUCACAUACCUCUGGAUGUCCCUCACUUUGGCAGUGAAAUGGCACUCAGCGUACAGGGUAGGGAGACUGUGGGCAUGCAUGAGGGUGGGGCGCUGGCAUGAGCUAUCACUGUCCCCUGAGGGCCCCUCUCCCCCCCCCCCCACAUACUGUGGGAACAGGGCAGCUUGGGCAGACCUCCUGGUGCCAUGUGAUAGGAAGCCUGCCCAGGGCUAGCUCUGUCACUUGAGGUGUGGAACCCCAGUGGCAGCAGUGUUCAGAGAGGCAUCAUUACAAAGCCUGCCCAAGAUGGCACUCGCAAACUCUACUCUUUGCUCCUCGUGGGUUCGGAGGGGAAGUGCUUUGAAAAGAGGUGCUUUCUCUAAACAUGAGGAAGGGGGUUGAGGAUGGUCACCCUGUGCGGCCUGAAGUGUCAAAGGAAGCCGGUAUAUGGCCGCCACACAGCCCUGCCUGGGCACCGGGAGGGUCCGAUGGCAGAGACCCAAGUGGGCGCACAGUCUGGAUCGGAUGCCCCAGGUGCAACCACGGCCAAUACAUAGCCCUGGGUUAUGGCCCUCUUGGGCCCAAGAUGUCCACAGCUGCAGCCUCUGGUGCCAAAUCCAGAGUGUGAGGCAUGAGGCACAGACCGGGACAGGGAGGGCCCCAUGAUGUGAUGGGAAGUGGGACACCACCCCUGUAUCAUGGCACGGAGUUCCCAAAGCACUCUCCCUUCUCAGAGCUCUAAUUUCUUUUAAUGCACACCCAGAAUUACUGGGGGCUACUUCAGCGCUGGAAGCCAGAGCAGACCCAGCCCUAUGUCACUGUCACAGAAGUGUCCACCUUGCACGAGCCAGACAGCAGGAUACAUGGAGACAGAGCUGGCAGGUUGGGGGGGGGGGGGGGGGGGCGGCGGCGAGUGAAGGAUGCCAGAGAUACAAAGGUAAGGGGCAGAGGCAUGCUGUGGCUGGGAAGGUGCUCCUGGAAAGAAGGUCCUGGCUUUCACACCUCCCCUGUCCUCUCCACUUCCCUCAUAUCUGAGUCUUCGUGUCCUGCCAGGUUCACUCUCUAAACCGCCAUCUCUGAUGGUCCCACUACACCCUGAAGUCACUUUCUAUGCUGACAUCUGCUGUCACAAAGGAAAUUUGAUAUGUUCCUCAGUCUUCCUGUCUCACUCCGUCUCUUCAAUUGCUGUUCACCAUUGCUUAAUGUUUGUAUUCUUUCCCCUCCUGUGCUUUGGGUCUUCUCGACUAAAGCAGAUGGCUCGAAAACAGCCUUAGCUGACCGUGCACAAGUCAGAGCUCCACGAUUAUGGGCUAAGUAUGCAGCUAAGUAUAAUGACCUCACAAGCCACGAUGUGCCCUUACCUGCCGCUGCCAAUGGACGGGAACGCGAUGGACUUGAGCUUUUUAUCGUCUGCCAGGGCCAGACAGUUCUUCACCGUCUUUUCCAGAAGUUCCUCACACUUGUCUGCACCCCAGACCGGACUGUUACAGUGGAUCACAAACUUGGCAGGCAGGCCGUGACCUGCGCUGACAGCAGCUGGAGGAGACAAGACAGGAACAGUGAGUUCUGUCCCUCACACACCCAACACAGCGCCCUCCAGCUGCAGCGCGCCCCCAGGCUCCCCUGUGGCCUGCAUCCAGGGAGCGCUGCAGCUGCCUGCCAUCUUGUGCUUCUGAUGUCCCCCUAGAAACUGCUCACCAGCGAGUCUUCUCGGGAAACACCAGGCCAAGAGCCACCCUUGGAAAGCUGGCAUUGAGAUGCACCACCACUAAGAAUUCUAGCCAAGAUUACAGCCAGCCCUCUCUGUACAUCCUCCCAGAGGCGGACCCUGAACCUCCUAACUUGACUGUGUCAGAAUGUUUGCAGCCUCAAAUUCGCCUCUGGGGAUCUCUAAGCCCCCUUCCUCCUGUGAACUCCUGUACACAUAAUUAUGAUGUGUCUAUAAAUCUCCCCGGCAGAGUUCAGGAUAAACCUAUUAGGAAAGCAACUCCAUUUAAUGAGCCACUAAGCAACAUGACUGGCAGCUCUGGUGCCCUCUUCUCCUCCUGAACUGAUCUUCGUUUUUGACAGAAUUAAAUUGUUCUUUCAUG